UGACCUGGACCCAUGCGGUCAUAACGCCCAAACUUUGUCAGGACCGGAAGGUAGCAGCAAUACGGGAUGCUUAUGACAGGCGUGGUAUCCGGGUCACUUU
rnacentral:SRP_RNA from 1 species